CACGUGAAAUCCCGUCGGAAUCUGGGAGGACCAUCUCCCAACCCUAAAUACUCCCUAGUGACCGAUAGUGAACCAGUACCGUGAGGGAAAGGUGAAAAGCACCCCGGGAGGGGAGUGAAAUAGAACCUGAAACCGUGUGCCUACAACAAGUUCGAGCCCGUUAAUGGGUGAGAGCGUGCCUUUUGUAGAAUGAACCGGCGAGUUACGUUAUGAUGCGAGGUUAAGUUGAAGAGACGGAGCCGUAGGGAAACCGAGUCUGAAUAGGGCGCCUUAGUAUCAUGACGUAGACCCGAAACCAUGUGACCUACCCAUGAGCAGGUUGAAGGUGCGGUAAGACGCACUGGAGGACCGAACCAGGGCACGUUGAAAAGUGCUUGGAUGACUUGUGGGUAGCGGAGAAAUUCCAAACGAACUUGGAGAUAGCUGGUUCUCUCCGAAAUAGCUUUAGGGCUAGCGUCGAUAUUAGAGAUUCUUGGAGGUAGAGCACUGUUUGGGUGAGGGGUCCAUCCCGGAUUACCAAUCUCAGAUAAACUCCGAAUGCCAAUGAAUUAUGGUCGGCAGUCAGACUGCGAGUGCUAAGAUCCGUAGUCGAAAGGGAAACAGCCCAGACCACCAGCUAAGGUCCCAAAAUAAUUGUUAAGUGGAAAAGGAUGUGGGGUUGCACAGACAACUAGGAUGUUAGCUUAGAAGCAGCUAUUCAUUCAAAGAGUGCGUAAUAGCUCACUAGUCGAGUGACCCUGCGCCGAAAAUGUACCGGGGCUAAAACAAUUUACCGAAGCUGUGGAUACCUUUAUAGGUAUGGUAGGAGAGCGUUCUAUGUGUGAUGAAGGUAUACCGUGAGGAGUGCUGGAACGCAUAGAAGUGAGAAUGCCGGUAUGAGUAGCGAAAGACAGGUGAGAAUCCUGUCCACCGUAAGACUAAGGUUUCCAGGGGAAGGCUCGUCCGCCCUGGGUUAGUCGGGACCUAAGGAGAGACCGAAAGGUGUAUCCGAUGGACAACAGGUUGAUAUUCCUGUACUAGAGUAUGUAGUGAUGGAGGGACGCAGUAGGCUAACUAAAGCAGACGAUUGGAAGAGUCUGUCUAAGCAGUGAGGUGUGAAUUGAGUCAAAUGCUUAAUUCUAUAACAUUGAGCUGUGAUGGGGAGCGAAGUUUAGUAGCGAAGUUAGUGAUGUCACACUGCCAAGAAAAGCUUCUAGCGUUUAAACAUACUCUACCCGUACCGCAAACCGACACAGGUAGUCGAGGCGAGUAGCCUCAGGUGAGCGAGAGAACUCUCGUUAAGGAACUCGGCAAAAUGACCCCGUAACUUCGGGAGAAGGGGUGCUGACUUUAAGUCAGCCGCAGUGAAUAGGCCCAAGCAACUGUUUAUCAAAAACACAGCUCUCUGCUAAAUCGUAAGAUGAUGUAUAGGGGGUGACGCCUGCCCGGUGCUGGAAGGUUAAGAGGAGUGCUUAGCGUAAGCGAAGGUAUGAAUUGAAGCCCCAGUAAACGGCGGCCGUAACUAUAACGGUCCUAAGGUAGCGAAAUUCCUUGUCGGGUAAGUUCCGACCCGCACGAAAGGCGUAAUGAUUUGGGCACUGUCUCAACGAGAGACUCGGUGAAAUUUUAGUACCUGUGAAGAUGCAGGUUACCCGCGACAGGACGGAAAGACCCCAUGGAGCUUUACUGCAGUUUGAUAUUGAGUGUCUGUACCACAUGUACAGGAUAGGUAGGAGUCUAAGAGAUCGGGACGCCAGUUUCGAAGGAGACGCUGUUGGGAUACUACCCUUGUGUUAUGGCCACUCUAACCCAGAUAGGUGAUCCCUAUCGGAGACAGUGUCUGACGGGCAGUUUGACUGGGGCGGUCGCCUCCUAAAAGGUAACGGAGGCGCCCAAAGGUUCCCUCAGAAUGGUUGGAAAUCAUUCGCAGAGUGUAAAGGUAUAAGGGAGCUUGACUGCGAGAGCUACAACUCGAGCAGGGACGAAAGUCGGGCUUAGUGAUCCGGUGGUUCCGUAUGGAAGGGCCAUCGCUCAACGGAUAAAAGCUACCCUGGGGAUAACAGGCUUAUCUCCCCCAAGAGUUCACAUCGACGGGGAGGUUUGGCACCUCGAUGUCGGCUCGUCGCAUCCUGGGGCUGUAGUCGGUCCCAAGGGUUGGGCUGUUCGCCCAUUAAAGCGGCACGCGAGCUGGGUUCAGAACGUCGUGAGACAGUUCGGUCCCUAUCCGUCGCGGGCGUAGGAAAUUUGAGAGGAUCUGCUCCUAGUACGAGAGGACCAGAGUGGACUUACCGCUGGUGUACCAGUUGUCUUGCCAAAGGCAUCGCUGGGUAGCUAUGUAGGGAAGGGAUAAACGCUGAAAGCAUCUAAGUGUGAAACCCACCUCAAGAUGAGAUUUCCCAUGAUUAUAUAUCAGUAAGAGCCCUGAGAGAUGAUCAGGUAGAUAGGUUAGAAGUGGAAGUGUGGCGACACAUGUAGCGGACUAAUACUAAUAGCUCGAGGACUUAUCCAA
rnacentral:rRNA from 1 species